GGUACGCCCGUCCCGCUCCGCAGGGGCAGAGGGGGAGGGGAUGAAGCUGCCCGGCGCCAUUUUGCUUGUGGGCUGCCGCCCGCCGUUGCCUCUCCGCGGAGGCUCGAAGAUAGCAAACUGGAGGCGGUGAGGGGGACGGAAUCUCUGUCUUUCUGACAACAGAUGCAUUCAACAAUCCACCGAAGGUUUGAGGAAGUGUCGGUAUUCGGUGGGACUGGUUCUUUCCCCCUUUCCCCCAGUGGCCCUCAAGUCUGGAUAUAGGUGAGCUUGGGCAUGCCAGUAUUGGGUGCACGAACAAGGACAGCAGGGCUUGGGAACGAACUCCCUCCCGUCACCCUCCGAAAGCGAUACACCUUCUCCCCCUCCCAAACAACCCCAGUCCCGUCUCCCCGUUCCUCUCCCCCUCCUCCCCCAGCCCAGUCUGGCCUCCAGCGCUGGGUGAACCCGGUUGGGGUGUCACUCGACGCCCACUAGGGGCUGAGGAGGCUCCAGUGCGCAGGCUCCGGGCACCGGAUAAAAGCGGAGCUGGCGAGUCUAGUGCUGUCUCGAUGGAGGAGCAAGAAACGGAAGAGGUCGGGGGGAGAAGCAGCCGGAAAAAUGCAGCCACCGUCAACGCCGCCUCCCUGCCACCGUGCUUCGGGGUAAAAAGCUGCCGUUGCCGUCGGUGCAGUUGCCGUCGCUGCCUCCUAUACUUCUCUUGGCCUCGGGGAAGGAUUUCCCCACCGGUGGGACAAUGUGCGGGGAGGGGAGUGGGAAUUCCUUUAUAUGGCGGUGAUUAAACGAGGGAGGGACAGACAGUGAUCUCGAAGAAAAAAGGGGGAGACCAAAGAAUAAAAGAAGGGUUUCCCCACUAAAAUGACACGGCGAUUCCGGCUCUUGUUUUGGGGGUCUUUCCCCGAAAUGGUUUCCGUCUUCCCCUUGCCCCGCAGCGACCCAGAGCGCUGGGGGAAGCGGAGUGGGGAGAGGCAGAGGCGGUCUCGGCAGCCAAUCAGCGCCUGAUGUGUCCUGUCGGGCGCGUCGUGGUUGGCUGGCGAUGACCUCAUCCUGCAGCAGCGGGUGGGGCCAAAGCCGUAGGGGGAGGCUGUUGCAAAGGUAGAGAGGGAGAAGUGACGAUGGUGAUCGUUGCUGCCGCGGCCGAUAUGGAACCCAAGCAGUGGCGAAGGGAAUCGCAAGGCUCUUCCCUGACCAUUUUCUACUGUCCCUGCGCGAGGUGAGGGCCCCGGCUCGGCCUCUGCAAAACUUUGGGGCGCUGGCGCGGAGGAGGAGACAGGAUUUCUCCCGUGACUUUUGUAACUGCGUCAGGGCAAGAUGGCGCUGGGUCUCUUUGGGGCGCGGGGGGAGAGGCACGUCCACCGCCGCAGCGCAUGUGACCGGGCUGCAUUCCUGUGGGGUUUGGCUCCGACCCAGGCCGGGGCGGGGGAGGGGACAGGGCUUGGGCGGAGGAGACUGUGGUGCGGUCGGCGUUGGCGGCCUGAAGAGGAAGAGAUGACUGUUGGAAAGCGUUCCCCUCCCCCAUACGGCAGAACAGCUGCGGCUCCCAGGGGAAAGCCCCCGCAGGACAGUCCUCGUGGGGUGUGACGGCUGUUGGUGGAGAAGGUUUGGCGCCCUAUUUUCUUAUCUGCCUUUCUCCCCGCAAAGUAUACUUAUGUAAGGUGGUAGUUCCCUGACGUGGGACUCGGAAUCAACUAGGAGUCCUUGAGGGCCUCUGGGAGGCCUAGCGAGGGGUAGACCAGCUUCUGGGGGUACAACGUCAAGGAGGAUCGAUUACUUUCUGAGGAAACAGUUUCUCAGAUUGAAAUAGAAAAGUAUUUCCAAAGUUUGGAAACAAAUUUAAAGGUGUAAAUAACACCCAGGAACACUUUAAUUGCUUUGAAAAGGCAUAAGCAGCCAUCUGAAUUUAAGGGCCCUUUUCAGACUCUUCCUUCCUCCUGUGAUUCCUGUUCUUUAUUUCAGUUUUCUGUCUGUACAUCCCUUAAGAAUAUAGUUUUGUCGGUGGGAUUCGCUCUUUUGUGCCCAGGCUGGAGUGCAGAGGCGAGAUCUCGGCCCACUGCAACCUCCGCCUCCCCGGGUUCAGGCGAGUCUCCUGCCUCAGCCUCCCAGGUAGCUGGGAUUACAGGCGCCCACAACCACACCCUGCUAAUUUUUUCUAUUUUUAGUAGAGACGGGGUUUCACCCCAUUGACCAGGCUGGUCUCGAACUCUCGAGAUCCGCCCGUCUCAGCUUCCCAAAGUGCUGGGAUUAUAGGCAUGAGCCACCGCGCCGGGCCUGCUUUUUUUUUUUUUUUUUUUUUUUGCACUGGGCAUUAGUAAUACGGAAUAAAAGCCGUGUUUUAAACUGUAUUAAGUUGUAAGACUUUUCAGUACUUUCAAGUCUGCUUUCUUUCUGUUGCCCUUUUGUAGUUUUUAAAAAUAAAAGAUGCAAUUAUAAGCACUUCCGGUGAAUAUUAUUCCUUAAGGUUCCUGCAUCAUCAUGAAAUUUGAAGCACUUUUAUAGUAGUACAAACUAUACUUUUAGCUUUUGAAAUCUCGAUAGGAGAAAAUAUCCAGCAGUUUUAGGGGCUAUUUUGGCAUAUUCAUUAAGGUAGACUAAGUUUGUUUUUCGUUUUUCCCACUUAGCCAAACUAGUUAAAGUAGUCAAAACUAGCAAAUAAUUUUUAAAGGGCUUCUCCUUUUGGGUGGUGUAGAGGGUGGGGAGUUAUUCAACAAACACAUUUGCAGCCAAAAUCUGGCCUACUUCUUGGCAGAGCGCUUAUACUUGGUGCUACGAGAAAAUGAUUGCUGGACCUGAAAAGAACCUGAGGUCAAGGUUGUGCUAUUUCCUUAAGUCUUAGUUGUAGGCUCUUGGUAGUUUGAAAACAAGAUUGGGUUUUUAAUUCAUUUGUGUAUCCUUAAAUCCUCACUAGUUUUUGUGGAUUUCUUUUUUCAGUUAUAAGCAACUGAAUGUGGAUGAGCUAUAAAUAUUUAGUACAAAGAAUGUAAUUUGUCCACUCUGAAUAGAAAGUAAGCAUUAAGAACUCUUGAAUGUCUUCAAGGGUUACUUUGUUACGUGUAAGAUGUCUCCCCUUCCUUCAUAGCAGUUUUUAUUCCUGCUUAAAAAGGGAACUAAAUAUGAAGUCAGUAGAUUUUAAGGUAAUUUUCAGAAUGUUUCUACUUUCACCGUGCCUUAAUAAGGAAAAAAGGCCAUUUUCCAAGCGAAUGGAAACACCCUUUCCUUGUUUUGUGCCUUUAAUCAGCGUGUACCUUCAUUGUUCCUGAUUGCCAAAUCCACGAACUUCUUGAGCUCUCAAUUUUUCUUGACUUUCCUAUGGCAUUUUAAAUACUGUUCAUACUUGGAAUUACUUUUCUUUGACUGCCUUCAUACAUUCAUAUAUUCUGCCUGGGCAAUUUCAUUUGGGCCUAUUAUGUUCCAAUACCUCUCCAAUUUUCACCUCCAUCUUAGCUCUGCCAGCUUCAGUGCCACAGGUAGGCAAUGUAAAAGUUUACUGGGGACCACAGGCUUUCUGAGCUCAAUAAAAAUACUAAGCUUGGUACUUGUUUUUUAAGAAUUUUCUUCCCCCAUCCCCUCACAAAGAUUAUUUGAGUAAAUUACACCCCAACCUCCAAAAAAAAAAAAAAA
rnacentral:lncRNA from 1 species